UUCCUCUCUGCUCGAGGGACCGGAGGACACGUUGGGGAUUACGGGGCGAGAAGACGGUGGAUGAGAAGAUCUGACAAACUAUUUUGGCAAUAAAUUUGGCAGAGUCGCCCCCUCCCCUCCCC